rnacentral:misc_RNA from 1 species
UUUCCGUAGGUGAACCUGCGGAAGGAUCAUUACCGAGUGAGGGCCCUCUGGGUCCAACCUCCCACCCGUGUUUAUCGUACCUUGUCGCUUCGGCGGGCCCGCCUCACGGCCGCCGGGGGGCACCCGCCCCCGGGCCCGCGCCCGCCGAAGACACCAUUGAACGCUGUCUGAAGAUUGCAGUCUGAGCAUCUUAGCUAAAUCAGUUAAAACUUUCAACAACGGAUCUCUUGGUUCCG